AUGUGGAAGUAAACACAACAGGGUUCAAAGCACAAGAGGCUGUGUCUAAAGAGCCCUGAGAGCCAGGACUCCUUACACAGCCAUUUGAGUCCAAUUGCCUCAACAAUCAAAACCUCCCCAAACAGAAGGCUGCAGGCAGACUGUCCACUGGAAAGAUGGGCCUCCAUGUCUUCCUUUAGCCAACUGCUCAUCUUACAAACUUUAACAGAACACCUACUAAAAUCAGUUUAUUCACUGAACAUUUUAUGAGCACCUAGCAGGCAUCCCACUGAGUGCCAAGGUAUUCCCACCUGACCGGACCUUCUCUUCUAGGCUCAGGCAGGCGCCCGCCAUGCUGCUCAGCAGAAGUCAUUGUUUCCAUUGGCACAGAUGAAGAAACAGAGGCUCAUGUUGAGAAGCCAGAGUCUACCAGUGGAGGUCACCAAGGACUGAGAUGAUUCAGAAUGUGGAAGCUCACUGCCUCCCUUGGCUUCUUCGCCGCCCCUCCCCCUCUCUAGGCCUGCUUCCAGUCUGUAGUUCACCUGCUUCCAAAACCUCGACCUUCAUCACGAACACAGAUCCAAGCUGAGGUACUCAAGAGUCACACCUGAGACCCCAAGACAGGUGGAAGGACGUUGGACCCCAGGACCUAGGACUGUGCAAUCAAUGCUCCCACCCCACAGCAGACCCUCACUCCCAGUCCUU
rnacentral:lncRNA from 1 species